rnacentral:rRNA from 1 species
CAGGGGAUCGCAAGACCUUGCGCUUCUAGAGCGGCCGAUGUCUGAUUAGCUUGUUGGUGAGGUAAAGGCUUACCAAGGCUUCGAUCAGUAGCUGGUCUGAGAGGACGACCAGCCACACUGGGACUGAGACACGGCCCAGACUCCUACGGGAGGCAGCAGUGGGGAAUUUUGGACAAUGGGCGCAAGCCUGAUCCAGCCAUGCCGCGUGAGUGAAGAAGGCCUUCGGGUUGUAAAGCUCUUUCAGCCGGGAAGAAAAGGUUGCGACUAAUAAUCGCAAUCCAUGACGGUACCGGAAGAAGAAGCACCGGCUAACUACGUGCCAGCAGCCGCGGUAAUACGUAGGGUGCGAGCGUUAAUCGGAAUUACUGGGCGUAAAGCGUGCGCAGGUGGUUU